rfam:Perkinsus marinus ATCC 50983 gcontig_1104296528414, whole genome shotgun sequence.
GGUUCUAUAGUGUAGUGGUUAGCACUCUGGACUUUGAAUCCAGCGACUCGGGUUCGAAUCCCGAUAGAACCU